rnacentral:rRNA from 1 species
AGAAUGAACGCUGGCGGCGUGCUUAACACAUGCAAGUCGAGCGAGGCGGAAGGGGGCAACUCCUUCCAGUCGAGCGGCGGACGGGUGAGUAACACGUGGGUAACCUGCCCGGAAGUGGGGAAUACCUCGGGGAAACUCGAGCUAAUACCGCAUGACAUCUUCGGGACGACAGUCCUGAUGAUCAAAGCGGGGUCGCAAGAUCUCGCGCUACCGGAUGGGCCCGCGCCCGAUUAGCUAGUUGGUGAGGUAACGGCUCACCAAGGCUUCGAUCGGUAACCGGCCUGAGACGGGCGAGUCGGUACGACACCGGAACUGAGACACGGUCCGGACUCCUACGGGAGCAGCAGUGGGAAUCUUGCGCAAUGGGCGAAAGCC